UACGGGGGGGGCAAGCGUUGUUCGGAAUUACUGGGCGUAAAGGGCUCGUAGGCGGCCAACUAAGUCGGAUGUGAAAUCCCCAGGCUUAACCUGGGAACUGCAUCCGAUACUGGAUGGCUUGAAUCCGGGAGAGGGAUGCGGAAUUCCAGGUGUAGCGGUGAAAUGCGUAGAUAUCUGGAGGAACACCGGUGGCGAAGGCGGCAUCCUGGACCGGCAUUGACGCUGAGACGCGAAAGCGUGGGGAGCAAACAGG
rnacentral:rRNA from 1 species